AGAGUUUGAUCCUGGCUCAGGAUGAACGCUAGCGGCAGGCCUAACACAUGCAAGUCGAGGGGCAUCACGAGGUAGCAAUACUUUGGUGGCGACCGGCGCACGGGUGCGUAACGCGUAUGUAACCUACCUAUAACAGGGGCAUAACACUGAGAAAUUGGUACUAAUUCCCCAUAAUAUUCGGAGAGGCAUCUCUCCGGGUUGAAAACUCCGGUGGUUAUAGAUGGACAUGCGUUGUAUUAGCUAGUUGGUGAGGUAACGGCUCACCAAGGCAACGAUACAUAGGGGGACUGAGAGGUUAACCCCCCACACUGGUACUGAGACACGGACCAGACUCCUACGGGAGGCAGCAGUGAGGAAUAUUGGUCAAUGGACGCAAGUCUGAACCAGCCAUGCCGCGUGCAGGAAGACGGCUCUAUGAGUUGUAAACUGCUUUUGUACGAGGGUAAACUCACCUACGUGUAGGUGACUGAAAGUAUCGUACGAAUAAGGAUCGGCUAACUCCGUGCCAGCAGCCGCGGUAAUACGGAGGAUUCAAGCGUUAUCCGGAUUUAUUGGGUUUAAAGGGUGCGUAGGCGGUUUGAUAAGUUAGAGGUGAAAUCCCGGGGCUUAACUCCGGAACUGCCUCUAAUACUGUUAGACUAGAGAGUAGUUGCGGUAGGCGGAAUGUAUGGUGUAGCGGUGAAAUGCUUAGAGAUCAUACAGAACACCGAUUGCGAAGGCAGCUUACCAAACUAUAUCUGACGUUGAGGCACGAAAGCGUGGGGAGCAAACAGGAUUAGAUACCCUGGUAGUCCACGCAGUAAACGAUGAUAACUCGUUGUCGGCGAUACACAGUCGGUGACUAAGCGAAAGCGAUAAGUUAUCCACCUGGGGAGUACGUUCGCAAGAAUGAAACUCAAAGGAAUUGACGGGGGCCCGCACAAGCGGAGGAACAUGUGGUUUAAUUCGAUGAUACGCGAGGAACCUUACCCGGGCUUGAAAGUUAGCGACGAUUCUGGAAACAGGAUUUCCCUUCGGGGCGCGAAACUAGGUGCUGCAUGGUUGUCGUCAGCUCGUGCCGUGAGGUGUCGGGUUGUUCUUUUACAUCUAUUUCGGCAUGAAUUACCGGAAGAUCAAGAUGUUCUCCAUGAAAGGCUUGGGCGACUUCAAGUGGUUGCAAUACAUGAGUGAAGACCAGAAACAACGUAUCAAGAAAGCCGAAUUGCUAAAAAAAGAAGAUAUGGAAGCGGUGAAACCGUUGAUGACAUUACUUCUGAAUAACAGCAAAGCCCUUCUCUCCCGUAACAACACGAUCGAAAUCCUCAACAACGGGGAGGCCACCUUCGGUUCGAUCUUCAAAGCCAUCGCCAAAGCCAAAAAAUACAUUCACCUCGAAUACUAUAUCAUUGAUAAAGG
rnacentral:rRNA from 1 species